rnacentral:lncRNA from 1 species
CAAGAAUUCUCGAUCGGCACAGACACUGACACCGACAGCGAUACCGUUACCGUUACCGACACCCACACAGACACAGACACAGACGCCGAAAGAGACACCGACACAGACACACACCUUAUGGCACUUUGAUAUGGUAGGUCGGCUCCUAUGCUUCAGCUUCAGCUUCAGUUUUAGCUGCUGUUUCUGCUGCUGCCUUGCCGCGUGCCGAACCGUGCGAACUGAAG